UUAAUUAAAUCUUUUACCCAACUAAUUGUUUUAAACCGAAGCUUCCCUAUACCCGACUCGAUCAUCACCUACGUCUUAAGCUGAGGUUUCAAUUAGAAACCUCAUUUCAUAUCAAACUUAGCCGCGAUUAGAGAAAGUUGGAGAUAAGGAUUUUCAGCUUCUCAUCUUUUCAAGAAUUUGCUUGAGGUAAUGAAAGUUGUUCUCCCAGAAGCUAACCAUAAUAAUUGUGUUAGACACAUUAAGUCUAAUUGGAUGAAGAGGUGGAGAUCUGUUAAAUGAAGAAGCUGAUGUGGUGGAAUGUAUGGUCCACCUAUGAGGAGUAGUUUGAUGACCAACUAAGGAAGCUAAGGGACAUGUAUGAAGAUGUUGUACGAGAUUUGAUUCAUUAUCCUCCUCAAUCAUUGUGUAGAACAUUUUUGAAAUUGUAUGAAAAAUAUGGUUGUGGAUAACAACGUUUCAAAGUCAUUCAAUACAUGAAUCUUAGAUGCAAGGUGACUUUGGAUAUGAGAUUAUUGAAGGGGCUGAUAGACACACAGUGAGCUUGAGUUCAAAACAAUGCGCUUGCAGAACACGACAACUUUCUGGCAUACCAUGUCCUCAUGCUAUCAAAGCUUUGAUGUAUAAGAGGAUGACCCCUUGACAGAAAUUCAUUGCCAACACAAUUAUCAAGUUAGCUGGCAGGCGUAAGGUGAAGAGGAAUAGACAAAAAGAUGACACCAUCAAAAGACAAAGAGCAUAGUCUAUUUCAAGGAAGAGGAAUAUGGUGUGCAACAAAAGUGCAGAGACAAACAACAACGCAAAAGGGUGCAAGAACGUACAUGUUACUUUCAGUAUCCAUUAACAGUGUAUUUUUAAUUCUGUAAUCAUUUUCUUGUUUUUAUGAUAACAUGUUAAGGAAAAACGGCCAGUGAGAAAGGAAGAAUCCAACUAUUGAUUUGAAGACGUUGAUGUGGACACACAACUAUUUAGACCAGAGGCAACUUAGACCA